rnacentral:rRNA from 1 species
AUUGAACGCUGGCGGCAGGCCUAACACAUGCAAGUCGAGCGAGCGGCGGACGGGUGAGUAAUGUCUGGGAAACUGCCUGCUGGAGGGGGAUAACUACUGGAAACGGUAGCUAAUACCGCAUACUAUCGGAUGAACCCAUAUGGGAUUAGCUCGUAGGUGGGGUAAAGGCUCACCUAGGCGACGAUCCCUAGCUGGUCUGAGAGGAUGAUCAGCCACACUGGAACUGAGACACGGCCCAGACUCCUACGGGAGGCAGCAGUGGGGAAUAUGGGACAAGGGGCGCAAGCCUGAUGCAGCCAUGCCGCGUGUAUGAAGAAGGCCUGAGGGUUGUAAAGUACUUUCAGCGGGGAGGCGUUACUCGCAGAAGAAGCACCGGCUAACUCCGUGCCAGCCGCCGCGGUAAUUC